rnacentral:rRNA from 1 species
UGCAGGCUGCAACUCGCCUGUAUGAAGUCGGAAUUGCUAGUAAUCGCGGAUCAGCAUGCCGCGGUGAAUACGUUCCCGGGCCUUGUACACACCGCCCGUCACACCAUGAGAGUCGGGAACACCCGAAGUCCGUAGUCUAACCGCAAGGAGGGCGCGGCCGAAGGUGGGCUUGAUAAUUGGGGUGAAGUCGUAACAAGGUACC